GUGGGGAAUCUUGCACAAUGGGGGCAACCCUGAUGCAGCGACGCCGCGUGAGCGAUGAAGUCCUUCGGGAUGUAAAGCUCUUUCGACGGGAACGAUAAUGACGGUACCCGGAGAAGAAGCUGCGGCUAACUACGUGCCAGCAGCCGCGGUAAUACGUAGGCAGCAAACGUUGUUCGGAAUUACUGGGCGUAAAGAGUGUGUAGGCGGUUGGGUAAGUUUGGUGUGAAAUCUCCCGGCUUAACUGGGAGGGUGCGCCGAAAACUGCCUGGCUUGAGUACUGGAGAGGAAAGCGGAAUUCCUGGAGUAGCGGUGAAAUGCGUAGAUAUCAGGAGGAACACCGGUGGUGUAGACGGCUUUCUGGACAGUCACUGACGCUGAGACACGAAAGCGUGGGGAGCAAACAGGAUUAGAAACCCCUGUAGUCC
rnacentral:rRNA from 1 species